GAUGAACGCUGGCGGCGUGCCUAAUACAUGCAAGUCGAGCGGACGGACGAUAAGCUUGCUUCUCUGAUGUUAGCGGCGGACGGGUGUGUAACACGUGGAUAAUCUACCUAUAAUACUGGGAUAACUUCGGGAAACCGGAGCUAAUACCGGAUAAUAUUUUGAACCGCAUUGUUCAAAAGUAAAAGACGGUCUUGCUGUCACGUAUAGAUGGAUCCGCGCUGCAUUAGCUAGUUGGUGAGGUAACGGCUUACCAAGGCAACGAGGCAUAGCCGAACUGAGGGGGUGAUCGGCCACACUGGAACCGAGACACGGUCCAGACUCCUACGGGAGGCAGCAGUAGGGAAUCUUCCGCAAUAGGCGAAAGCCUGACGGAGCAACGCCGCGUGAGAGAUGAAGGUCUUCGGAUCGUAAAACUCUGUUAUUAGGGAAGAACAGAUAUGUAAGUAACUGAGCACAUCUUGACGGUACCUAAUCAGAAAGCCACGGCUAACUACGUG
rnacentral:rRNA from 1 species